CCCUGAGACACCGAGAUAAACGCU
rnacentral:piRNA from 1 species